ensembl:ncRNA F10D2.15 ncRNA
UUCUGCCUCCUAGAGGCGUUCAAAAAUUGCGUAUGGCACCCAUGUUUCAGAGGUCAUCGCGGGCAAUUGGGAAAAGUUUUCAACCAGCAAUAAACGCACCUCGGCAAAGCCUCAUUGGUCACGUUAUCGCCCCAGCGCAAAGCUAA